rnacentral:rRNA from 2 species
AGGAGUGGAGCCUGCGGCUUAAUUUGACUCAACACGGGAAACCUCACCAGGCCCGGACACCGGAAGGAUUGACAGAUUGAGAGCUCUUUCUUGAUUCGGUGGGUGGUGGUGCAUGGCCGUUCUUAGUUGGUGGAGCGAUUUGUCUGGUUAAUUCCGAUAACGAACGAGACUCUAGCCUGUUAACUAGGCGUUCUUCCGACAUCUCAAAGGCCCGCCGGCCCGGCGCGCGUCGCGGUCGCGCGCGGUUUUUACUGUCGGCGUAUAAAUUAUUCUUCUUAGAGGGACAGGCGGCUUCUAGCCGCACGAGAUUGAGCAAUAACAGGUCUGUGAUGCCCUUAGAUGUUCUGGGCCG